UGGGCAACCUGCCCCUCUCUCUGGGAUAAACCCCCGGGGAAAACCGGAGCUAAUACCGGACACUCCGGCUGGAUCGCAUGGUCCGGCCGGGAAAGGUCCGCCGGAGAGGGAAGGGCCCGCGGCCUAUCAGCUUGUUGGUGGGGUCAUGGCUCACCAAGGCGACGACGGGUAGCUGGUCUGAGAGGACGACCAGCCACACUGGAACUGAGAUACGGUCCAGACUCCGUACGGGAGGCA
rnacentral:rRNA from 1 species